rnacentral:snRNA from 1 species
CAUAAAUAGGAUCGAUUCCCGAAUUUGCGUGUCAUUCUUGUGCAGUGGCCAUACACGUCUUCUCUAUAUUGUUCAAGCUUUAGUAUAGGUUCAAGAAUGAAU